rnacentral:lncRNA from 1 species
CUAUCUUCUUCGAUAUUAGCACUUAUCAUGGCUAUCUCCAUCUCUUUGUAGUAGUCUUCUACACUUUUGUUCCCUUGUAUAAGGCCUUGUAAUUUUUGAUGUAAAUCCCUAUAGUAGUGAGUAUGAACAAAGUACCUUUUCAUGAUAGCCUUCAUUUCGGCCCAAGUGGAAAUAGGUCUCUCUCUAUUUCUCCUUUUACUUGUGAUGAGUUGAUCCCGCCACACAAUAGCAUACUCUCCAAACUCCACGGUUGCAAGCUUUAUCUUUUCUCCUCCGAAGAAUUGUGGCACUAAAAAAUAAGCUCCACCUUGCACUCCCAUUCAAGAUAAGCAUUCGGAUCAUUCUUGCCUAGAAACGAUGGGAUUUUCAUUUUGAUGCUCCCAAUAUUUUUAUUAAGAUCCUUU